rnacentral:snRNA from 1 species
GGCUUUGCGCAGUGGCAGUAUCGUAGCCAAUGAGGUUUAUCCGAGGCGUGAUUAUUGCUAAUUGAAACUUGGCUUCCUCGGACCCACUUAGAUCUACUAAAACGGAACUGCAUUGUCACGCAACCUUCAGGGGAUUAUGGGUACACUGAUGUUUGAGAAGCAGCGGUCUGU